UACGUAGGGUGCGAGCGUUGUCCGGAAUUAUUGGGCGUAAAGCGCGCGUAGGUGGUUUGUUAAGUUGGAUGUGAAAGCCCCGGGCUCAACCUGGGAACUGCAUUCAAAACUGACAAGCUAGAGUAUGGUAGAGGGUGGUGGAAUUUCCUGUGUAGCGGUGAAAUGCGUAGAUAUAGGAAGGAACACCAGUGGCGAAGGCGACCACCUGGACUGAUACUGACACUGAGGUGCGAAAGCGUGGGGAGCAAACAGG
rnacentral:rRNA from 1 species